rnacentral:rRNA from 1 species
AGAGUUUGAUCCUGGCUCAGGACGAACGCUGGCGGCGUGCUUAACACAUGCAAGUCGAGCGAUGAAGCUUCCUUCGGGAAGUGGAUUAGCGGCGGACGGGUGAGUAACACGUGGGUAACCUGCCUCAAAGUGGGGGAUAGCCUUCCGAAAGGAAGAUUAAUACCGCAUAAUAUAGAGAAUCGCAUGAUUUUUUUAUCAAAGAUUUAUUGCUUUGAGAUGGACCCGCGGCGCAUUAGCUAGUUGGUAAGGUAACGGCUUACCAAGGCAACGAUGCGUAGCCGACCUGAGAGGGUGAUCGGCCACAUUGGAACUGAGACACGGUCCAGACUCCUACGGGAGGCAGCAGUGGGGAAUAUUGCGCAAUGGGGGAAACCCUGACGCAGCAACGCCGCGUGGGUGAUGAAGGUCUUCGGAUUGUAAAGCCCUGUUUUCUAGGACGAUAAUGACGGUACUAGAGGAGGAAGCCACGGCUAACUACGUGCCAGCAGCCGCGGUAAUACGUAGGUGGCGAGCGUUGUCCGGAUUUACUGGGCGUAAAGGGUGCGUAGGCGGAUGUUUAAGUGGGAUGUGAAAUCCCCGGGCUUAACCUGGGGGCUGCAUUCCAAACUGGAUAUCUAGAGUGCAGGAGAGGAAAGCGGAAUUCCUAGUGUAGCGGUGAAAUGCGUAGAGAUUAGGAAGAACACCAGUGGCGAAGGCGGCUUUCUGGACUGUAACUGACGCUGAGGCACGAAAGCGUGGGUAGCAAACAGGAUUAGAUACCCUGGUAGUCCACGCCGUAAACGAUGGAUACUAGGUGUAGGGGGUAUCAACUCCCCCUGUGCCGCAGUUAACACAAUAAGUAUCCCGCCUGGGGAGUACGGUCGCAAGAUUAAAACUCAAAGGAAUUGACGGGGGCCCGCACAAGCAGCGGAGCAUGUGGUUUAAUUCGAAGCAACGCGAAGAACCUUACCUGGACUUGACAUCCCUUGCAUAGCCUAGAGAUAGGUGAAGCCCUUCGGGGCAAGGAGACAGGUGGUGCAUGGUUGUCGUCAGCUCGUGUCGUGAGAUGUUAGGUUAAGUCCUGCAACGAGCGCAACCCUUGUUAUUAGUUGCUACCAUUAAGUUGAGCACUCUAAUGAGACUGCCUGGGUAACCAGGAGGAAGGUGGGGAUGACGUCAAAUCAUCAUGCCCCUUAUGUCCAGGGCUACACACGUGCUACAAUGGUAGGUACAAUAAGACGCAAGACCGUGAGGUGGAGCAAAACUUAUAAAACCUAUCUCAGUUCGGAUUGUAGGCUGCAACUCGCCUACAUGAAGCUGGAGUUGCUAGUAAUCGCGAAUCAGAAUGUCGCGGUGAAUACGUUCCCGGGCCUUGUACACACCGCCCGUCACACCAUGAGAGCUGGUAACACCCGAAGUCCGUGAGGUAACCGUAAGGAACCAGCGGCCGAAGGUGGGAUUAGUGAUUGGGGUGAAGUCGUAACAAGGUAGCCGUAGGAGAACCUGCGGCUG